GACGAACGCUGGCGGCGUGCCUAAUACAUGCAAGUAGAACGCUGAAACUUGGUGCUUGCACCGAGCGGAUGAGUUGCGAACGGGUGAGUAACGCGUAGGUAACCUGCCUGGUAGCGUGGGAUAACUAUUGGAAACGAUAGCUAAUACCGCAUAAGAGUAGAUGUUGCAUGACAUUUGCUUAAAAGGUGCAAUUGCACCACUACCAGAUGGACCUGCGUUGUAUUAGCUAGUUGGUGGGGUAACGGCUCACCAAGGCGACGAUACAUAGCCGACCUGAGAGGGUGAUCGGCCACACUGGGACUGAGACACGGCCCAGACUCCUACGGGAGGCAGAAGUAGGGAAUCUUCGGCAAUGGACGGAAGUCUGACCGGGCAAAGCCGCGUGAGUGAAGAAGGUUUUCGGAUCGUAAAGAUCUGUUGUAAGAGAAGAAAGAGUGUGAGAGUGGAAAGUUCACACUGUGACGGUAUCUUACCAGAAAGGGACGGCUAAAUACGUG
rnacentral:rRNA from 1 species